rnacentral:rRNA from 1 species
ACAGUGAUGUAGAGCGAAACUGAAAAAAUAAGUCUCAGUUCGGAUUNAAGGCUGAAAUUCGCCUUCAUGAAGCCGGAAUUGCUAGUAAUGGCAGGUCAGCAUACUGCCGUGAAUACGUUCCCGGGCCUUGUACACACCGCCCGUCACACCAUGAGAAUUGGGAAUACCCGAAGCCUGUGAGCUAACUAUAUGAGGCAGCAGUCGAAGGUAGAAUCAAUGAUUGGGGUGAAGUCGUAACAAGGUAUC